CUACGGGCGGCAGCAGUGGGGAAUAUUGCACAAUGGGCGCAAGCCUGAUGCAGCCAUGCCGCGUGUGUGCAGAAGGCCUUCGGGUUGUAAAGCACUUUCAGCGGGGAGGAAGGCGGUGAGGUUAAUAACCUCAUCGAUUGACGUUACCCGCAGAAGAAGCACCGGCUAACUCCGUGCCAGCAGCCGCGGUAAUACGGAGGGUGCAAGCGUUAAUCGGAAUUACUGGGCGUAAAGCGCACGCAGGCGGUCUGUCAAGUCGGAUGUGAAAUCCCCGGGCUCAACCUGGGAACUGCAUUCGAAACUGGCAGGCUAGAGUCUUGUAGAGGGGGGUAGAAUUCCAGGUGUAGCGGUGAAAUGCGUAGAGAUCUGGAGGAAUACCGGUGGCGAAGGCGGCCCCCUGGACAAAGACUGACGCUCAGGUGCGAAAGCGUGGGGAGCAAACAGGAUUAGAUACCCCGGUAGUC
rnacentral:rRNA from 1 species